ensembl:snRNA U1 U1 spliceosomal RNA
GAAGCCACCUGACAGGGGAGAUACCAUGCUCAUGAAGGUGUUUUUUCCAAGGGAAAAGCUUGUCUCUUGCACUUUGGGUAUGCUGACUCUUGCCAUUUCCCCAAAUGCAGGAAAUUUGCCUACUUUUUUGUGAUAAUGGCAAACUCUGUUCAUGUUCUCCCC